CCUACGGGGGGCAGCAGUAGGGAAUCUUGCGCAAUGGAGGAAACUCUGACGCAGCAACGCCGCGUGAAUGAUGAAGGUCUUCGGAUCGUAAAGUUCUUUUCUAAGGGAAGAAGAAAGUGACGGUACCUUAGGAAUAAGCCUCGGCUAACUACGUGCCAGCAGCCGCCGUAAUACGUAGGAGGCAACCGUUAUCCGGAGUGAAUGGGCGUAAGGGGUGCGUAGGUGGUUUGACAAGUUGGAAGCGUAACUCCGGGGCUCAACCUCGGAACGUCUACCAAAACUGUCGGACUUGAGUGCAGGAGAGGAAAAUGGAAUUCCUAGUGUAGCGGUGGAAUGCGUAGAGAUUAGGAGGAACACCAGUGGCGAAGGCGAUUUGCUGGACUGUAACUGACACUGAGGCACGAAAGCGUGGGGAGCAAACAGGAUUAGAUACCCCUGUAGUC
rnacentral:rRNA from 1 species